UUUUUUUCAAAACUUUGCAUUAACAAGUUUAACAUUUUGCCAAACUAACUUGACCAUCAUGACUAACACCUAAGAAGACCUUGAUAUGGUAAUUUUGGUGGUUAGAGGAGCUCCCUAGGUGCCCUUGACAUUCUCUCGAACACCGUGAAUUCAUGUACGGAAGUGGCAUGGAUUUUGUCUGCAUUGUUGAAUUGCUCCUCUGACCCUAGUAUCAUGUCUAACAGUCCUAACCUAAACCCUAAAAUAAUUCUGUUAAUUUGAACCAGCAUUGGAGGUAGUUAGAGGCACGAGGCAUUCUGUCGAACGCCUGGUGUGCGUGCUGUGGAC
rnacentral:lncRNA from 1 species